UACGUAGGGGGCUAGCGUUGUCCGGAAUCAUUGGGCGUAAAGCGCGUGUAGGCGGCCCGGUAAGUCCGCUGUGAAAGUCGGGGGCUCAACCCUCGAAUGCCGGUGGAUACUGUCGGGCUAGAGUACGGAAGAGGCGAGUGGAAUUCCUGGUGUAGCGGUGAAAUGCGCAGAUAGUCAGGAGGAACACCAAUUGCGAAGGCAGCUCGCUGGGACGUCACUGACGCUGAGACGCGAAAGCGUGGGGAGCAAACAGG
rnacentral:rRNA from 1 species